AAAGCUUUAAGUUAAAAUAAACUAUUAACCUUCAAAGUUAAAUAUAUAAAUAUUUUAUAAGCUUUA
rnacentral:tRNA from 1 species